AUUGGGAAGAACCCAGCUCAGAAGGAAGCCACCGACUGGCAGCAGCACAAAACUAUCAAUUACGCAUUUCCCCUGUUCUCAGUAUUCAAAGAACAAAAGUAGAAAAUGUAGAUGGUUGAGAUAAUCAACAGAGGAUAGGAGACUGUACAAGAAGAGGAGUGAAAAAAUGAGGUGGCAGGGAGUGAGGCACCUCAUGAGAGAACUGAAGGGAUAACAACAAGGCCCAGCAAGAAAAUGAGGCCUUGCGGGCGUGGCGAGAGAACAGUUCCAGAGCUGUGCAAAUGAGCAAACGGCCAUACAGAGGUUGCAUGAGCAGUAGACCCGGGAUCUCAGCCCAGGUAGCCUGGCUCUUAAGCUUGCUAGAUGCUCAGAAACCCUAGAGUUUCUAACACUAGAGCCAAACUGUGCUGGGCAGUGAAGGUGAAGGUGAGGUUUUUACCUCAGCACGUCGAUCUCAUCUUUCAGAGACUGAGCUUCAUCUGCCAAAGUGGUCAGUUCAUCAUUCUGUUGCCGAAGUUCAGAGAUCUCCUUUUCUAACUCUUCACAGCGUAUUCGAUAAUCAUCUUUGGCUGCUUCUAGUCUGUAACCAAUACAUAAUAGAUCAAGAAAGCACUAUUUACUGCCUCCUCAUUCUCCUCAGAACAGUAAAAGAAAAAUAUAAAGCAUGAGAAUAAAGCCUUCUUGAAUAUGUCUCCCAUGUUAGUGGCCACAAGCUGCAUUCUCAAAUAUUAACUGUCAUAAAAAUGGACUCCACUGUCCCAAGUCUUGGGAACGGUGACAACUGGUUACUAUUUCCCUACCAGAAGGCAAGACAACAUGCAAUGCUUUUCAGAACUGCAGAUACAAUUUAUUUAAGGGCUUUUAAAAUUAUAAAAUUAACACAUAUGGUCUGGCACAGUGGCUUACAGUAAUAAACCCAUUAUGUUAAUAAAAACAA